rnacentral:misc_RNA from 1 species
GAUGAAGAACGUAGCGAAAUGCGAUAAGUAAUGUGAAUUGCAGAAUUCAGUGAAUCAUCGAAUCUUUGAACGCACAUCGCGCCCGCCAGUAUUCUGGCGGGCAUGCCUGUUCGAGCGUCAUUUCAACCAUCAAGCCCCCGGCUUGUGUUGGGGACCUGCGGCUGCCGCAGGCCCUGAAAAGCAGUGGCGGGCUCGCUGUCACACCGAGCGUAGUAGCAUACAUCUCGCUCUGGGCGUGCUGCGGGUUCCGGCCGUUAAACCACCUUCAUAACCCAAGGUUGACCUCGGAUCAGGUAGGAAGACCCGCUGAACUUAAGCAUAUCAAUAAGCGGAGGA